rnacentral:rRNA from 1 species
UACGUAGGUGGCGAGCGUUGUCCGGAAUUACUGGGUGUAAAGGGCGUGUAGGCGGGACUGCAAGUCAGAUGUGAAAUACCGGGGCUUAACCCCGGGGCUGCAUUUGAAACCGUAGUUCUUGAGUGCAGGAGAGGAAAGCGGAAUUCCUAGUGUAGCGGUGAAAUGCGUAGAUAUUAGGAGGAACACCAGUGGCGAAGGCGGCUUUCUGGACUGUAACUGACGCUGAGGCGCGAAAGCGUGGGGAGCGAACAGG